rnacentral:lncRNA from 1 species
UUGCUAUUGAGUGUCCUUAAGCACAAAACAGAUUUGUGGGUCGGUAUUUCAAUAAACUAAAGAAAUGGGGUAAAAUCGAAAUAUAUAGCAAGUUUAAUCCAAAGAGGAAAGUAUUUAAAGAUUAAGAGAAGUGCAUACGUGGAGGUUGAACACUUUGUACAACCAAUGACGUGCUUCCGAGUAUUCAUAUCAAAGUUUUUUCUCCUCAUUAUCUCCCCGGAUGUUCAAGAAUUAUACACA